GCCAAGCUGCGCAAGGACAUCCGGCCCGAGUGCCGCGAGGACUUCGUGCUGAGCAUCACCGGCAAGAAGGCGCCGGGCUGCGUGCUCUCCAACCCCGACCAGAAGGGCAAGAUGCGGCGCAUCGACUGUCUCCGGCAGGCGGACAAGGUGUGGCGGCUGGACCUGGUCAUGGUCAUCCUGUUCAAGGGCAUCCCGCUGGAGAGCACCGACGGCGAGCGCCUGGUCAAGGCUGCGCAGUGCGGUCACCCGGUCCUGUGCGUGCAGCCGCACCACAUUGGCGUGGCCGUCAAGGAGCUGGACCUCUACCUGGCCUACUUCGUGCGUGAGCGAGGUGAGAUGCAGAGCAAAGCGGCAGUCCCCGGACAGGGAUGGGCUCUGACCAGGAGGACAGCAAGCCCAUCACGCUGGACACGACCGACUUCCAGGAGAGCUUUGUCACCUCCGGCGUGUUCAGCGUCACUGAGCUCAUCCAAGUGUCCCGGACACCCGUGGUGACUGGAACAGGACCCAACUUCUCCCUGGGGGAGCUGCAGGGGCACCUGGCAUACGACCUGAACCCAGCCAGCACUGGCCUCAGAAGAACGCUGCCCAGCACCUCCUCCAGUGGGAGCAAGCGGCACAAAUCGGGCUCGAUGGAGGAAGACGUGGACACGAGCCCUGGCGGCGAUUACUACACUUCGCCCAGCUCGCCCACGAGUAGCAGCCGCAACUGGACGGAGGACAUGGAAGGAGGCAUCUCGUCCCCGGUGAAGAAGACAGAGAUGGACAAGUCACCAUUCAACAGCCCGUCCCCCCAGGACUCUCCCCGCCUCUCCAGCUUCACCCAGCACCACCGGCCCGUCAUCGCCGUGCACAGCGGGAUCGCCCGGAGCCCACACCCGUCCUCCGCUCUGCAUUUCCCUACGACGUCCAUCCUACCCCAGACGGCCUCCACCUACUUCCCCCACACGGCCAUCCGCUACCCACCUCAUCUCAACCCCCAGGACCCGCUCAAAGAUCUUGUCUCGCUGGCCUGCGACCCAGCCAGCCAGCAACCUGGACCGCCUACUCUCCGCCCGACACGUCCCCUGCAAACCGUUCCUUUGUGGGAUUAGGACCAAGGGAUCCUGCGGGCAUUUAUCAGGCACAGUCCUGGUAUCUGGGAUAGCAAAGGUCUUCUUCCCUCGCCCCUUCUCCAUCGUCCCAGGAAUCCCAGGGGGCAGCACAGCCGGCCCCCGGCCCACGUUUUCGGUGGAAAAUUAGAGUGAACAAGAACACCCCUGCCGACUCCCAGCCCGGCCAAAAAGACAAAACACAUAGACGCACACACUCAGGAGGAAAAGAAAAAACAAAG
rnacentral:lncRNA from 1 species